CAGUAGCCGCGGGAAUACGAAGGGGGCUAGCAUUGUUCGGAUUUACUGGGCGUAAAGCGCACGUAGGCGGAUCGAUCAGUCAGGGGUGAAAUCCCAGAGCUCAACUCUGGAACUGCCUUUGGUACUGUCGAUCUGGAGUAUGGAAGAGGUGAGUGGAAUUCCGAGUGUAGAGGUGAGAUUCGUAGAUAUUCGGAGGAACACCAGUGGCGAAGGCGGCUCACUGGUCCAUUACUGACGCUGAGGUGCGAAAGCGUGGGGAGCAAACAGGAUUAGAUACCCCCGUAGUCCCUGUCUCUUAUAC
rnacentral:rRNA from 1 species